UCCUUUUUCUUGUGUAAUUCCUUGUCUUCCAAGCCUCAACUUUAAUUUCUCCAGAUUUUAGCACAUGUCUAACACAAUUUAAACACCAAAAACGUUCAGCCCAUAUGCUAUCCACGCAUGCUAUCCAAUCCAAGUCCAAAACUGCUCCAAAUUACUCCAUUUAGAUAUUUAUUGUCAUCUUUACCAACUGAACCUACAAUAAUACAAAAAUAACAUAAAUUACCAAAAUAAAUGGAAAUAAACGAAGUAAAUGCAAAGAAAUAAGAUAACAAAGUCGCAUAAACAUGCUCCUAUCAAAUUCCCCCACACUUAGCUUUUGCUAGUCCUCGAGCAAAAAAUAGAAAACAAAACAAAACCUAAACCUUCCAACAAUUGCCUUAGGGAUUUCCAAUGAAACAUGACAUGUUAAAAAUCACUACUCACAUAGAUUUUAGUCAUCCUUACUCUUGAGCUUAUACUUAACCACAGUAACCACCCAUUAGCUCGCAUUUAAUCAAUUAAAACAACAUUUGAAUAUAGUAACAUGCCUUAGAGAAUUCACUCAAUUCCUCACUGGAUAUACUCUUUAUUUUCACACAGAUUUUCUGACUAUACUCCCUAUACUAAGUAUAUGUGAGAAGAUUGAUGUAAACAUGUAGACUAGCACUCACAUAUGUUAUAACAACGAAGGCACUUUUUGGAAUUAUUAAUACAAACAUGUAUAUAAUCUCAUGAAUGGAAUGCCACUACUUAGAAGCGAGAACUAGGGAUUCCAUAUGCUCGUUUCAAACUCCACAUAUUGAAACACAAAACAAUCAAGAUAAAGAUCUAAGGGUUGUAAUGGGGCUAAGGUAUUGGCUAACAAAGAAAGGUUAAGGAUAAACAAGGGUUCUUAAAGUGACAGUAAGCAAAGUAAUGAAAUCAACACUUAGAAUUAAACUUUUGACUACAGCACCCAAAUUUAAACAGAAAGUGAAGAUUCGUACAACUUUAGGGUCAGAUUCAGAUUUUUGGACCCUUCUUCAACAACCAACACUGAUGAACUCAUUCUAACUUCUUUCUCAACCUCUUUUCUUCUUUUCUCAAUUUUUUUUCAACGUUUUUCUUCUUUUUUUUGUUUAAUUUUUUUUCUUUGAAACAUACACACUACUUCAUUGGAUUCAAAAGAACAAAUUCUUCCCCCACACUUGUUUUUCUACAAAUCGGAGAUCAAAAGGAAUUCUCAACAAUUCAUGCUCCACUAUUCUUUACGAACAAGGGUAUUGAUAUUCCUAUGCUAGGCUAGGUAGGGAUAAUGCAGGCUAACAAAAAAAAUAGGCUAAAUAAAGCUCAAAGGGGUUAAACCUAUAAUACAUAUGCAAGGGAUAAGGCUUUUUGGCUCUAGUGGUAACUAAACAACUUCAUGUUGUUAUUUAUUAUGCAAUCAAUUUUAUGCUUUG
rnacentral:lncRNA from 1 species